GGUGGGGAGGGGCAGCAAACCCGGAUAACGGGUUUGAGUCUGGUGACUCAAAUCACAAACAUUCGGUUGUGAGUCUGCUGACUUGUAACAAAAGAGCAUCUCUGUAGGCAUGAAUCACCAAGGAUUUAUACACCCAACCCCCAAAACGGUGUCAUCUUGACAUUGGCAACUAUUUGUAACUAGAGAAAUAACUUCGCGCUUGGUUUUUAUCAAAAAGCAUUCCGAAAUGAACUUGUUUCUUAUUGUCACUUAGUAAUUUUUUUUUUUUUUUUCAGAACAAUCUAAGACCCGAGUGAUCAUAACGUGCCUACACCCUGUCUGGCGGUAUCUGAGUCAAGCUGCAGUAGGUAUUGGUGUAAAUAUGCAUAUGGUUGGGCAUGAAGCAGCAGGUGUCUAAUAAUUGCGACUGAAGCGGCACCACAGUGAUUCACGAUGUGGAUCCGAAACUGGCAACGUGGGGAGGACCGGAUACAAAAUGUAGCAGGAAGCUGGGGGCUCAAGACAUCAGACCAAUAAAGGCCGAAGCAGGGGGAAAGGAUUAAUUACCCCCACUGCGUCCGGAGGAGGGCUAUAAGCUACAUCUAUCUGCUCACACCUUCUGGCAAAAUGUCUUUAUCCAGCAAAACAUUAUAGCGCAAUGCCAGCGAAAGUUGUUUUUAAGAGGAUCGUGGUUAUGGUUCGGUAGAGACAAUGUGCCUCUGCCCAGCACCAAAUGAAAUCUCACCCUGGCUGAAGCUGGAUGAAAGGAAGAAGCCAGGAAUAUGAAAAUGCAGCGAACAUCUGGGGAUCCACAGGACAAAGGCCACAUGUUAAGGAUUGCAGAGCAAACAAAGAAGGAACCUGGGGCCUUGAUGGCAUCUUUGAACCCUGCACAGUCCACCUCUAGACUUCUUGUUUUCUGGUUUAUAAGUGUUAGAUGUUGAAGUCGUCGUUUGGGGAGCUUGCUGCUAUUUGUGGAUCAAGUCGAUCCUACUUUCUCCAGUCUUUUAAAUGAACUGGUAGAAUUCUUCCUGCUUUUAUUUUUUACAUUUGUCUUUAAUCCAUCUUAACUUAUUUUUGAAUAUGCUGAGAGAUAUGGGUCCAAUUUUAUAUUCUUCCAGAUGGAUAACCAGUUGUGCCAGCACCAUUUAUCAAAUCCCACUGAAUAGAAAAACCAUUUUCUGUUUCAUGCUGAAUUCCCCUAUAUACUAGGAUCUAUUUCUGAUCUAUUUCUGAUCUAUUUCAGUCUAUUCCACUGAUUGACUUAUCCUUAUUUAUGCCAAUAUCGUAUAGAUGUGAUUGCAGUGGCUUCA